GGUCUGCUGGUCUAGUGGUAGGAUUCUCGCUUUGGGUUGUCGGAAACAGUCUCAAGAUUGCGAGAGGUCCCGGGUUCAAUCCCCGGGCAGACCC